GAUGGACCAGGAGGGAUCGCAAUGGACGUAUAGGCAGGCUUAGCAUGCGUCACUACCACAACUGGCUCUUCAGACUGGCCAAUUGGAGCAGUAGCUGUACUUUUGAAGUUCUUGCUCUUGGGGUUAUAAUCCCCUUGCAUGUUGUACCAAGAAAAUGGGGCCUUCGCUUUGACUUUGAUGUCAAAGGGCCUCUUUUCCACUUUUAGAUCUCGAAAGUACAUAGUUAGAAAGACGGGAAAGGGUAGUUUCUGUCAUGCUUAACACCCACCAUUGAAAUUAUCCUCGACAUCACAUUUCCCACAUUGAUUAGGUACCCCGCCGUAAUUGAAGCCACCAACACUACCCGGUGAAGAGGGAAGGUGUUUUCAUGAGUUGUCGGGUAUAGUUUGCUGCACACAAAUGUUUCCCACCCCUUUGCCUCUAAAUUCAUACUACGCCUCAAAAUCUUGAUACCCACAGUCAACCAAUCCGGGGUGGUACUGGGAUUUCUAGGUACUGUUCUAACCAGGGACGGACCUCCUUGCCCAUUUCCAUCUUUUCCAUAUUCAAUAUCUCAUCCUCCUCAUCAAACCCAAGGUAGUCGUUGAUUGUCUUCCCGUCAAAAAAUACCUUCAAGUUUCACACCUUGGUCAACUUUGUACCCUUUUUGAUGUGGAAAUGUUGGUGUAAAUUCUUUGACCAAGUGCUCAUUGGCGUCUACACAGUUAGCCAAAAUUUCUCCCAGCCAUUUCUCUCCCUAAACUGCCUCCUCAUAUUGGGGUUGUGAGAUAGCAAGUCUUUAUCUAUAAAAAUCCUUUCCGGGAUCAACUUCCUCACCUGCCACCACUCCCGGAAUUUAUGGUAUGCUACUUCACUAACGAACCAGUCUUGCCAUACCUUCGGCUUCCUAGUUCUCGCAAUACCCCCCUCACCUGUAGUUUACCUCUUUCUCAUACUUCUUCAUUUCCCCCUACUUCCUCCUCAUCACCUACUGCACCCUCUCCAGGUAAUGAAGAUGUGGGAGAGGUUGAAAAUUCCCCACUACCGGUAGCUGAGCCUUCAGUCUACUUAGAAGAAACAUUUACUGAUGCUUGGGCAAUGGGGGAUGCUGGGGGUGUGUCUCUUAGCUUGUUCCUCUCUGGCCAAUCAGGGACUAACUCUGGCACGGAGUCGGUGAAGAUCUCCUAGGAGGGCUCGUAUUCACUCCCCGACAUGUUAAUGGCUCUAUCAGCCCCUUCAUCAUCUUUCUUGUCUUUUUAUUUUCCCAGACUUGAGGAGUGAGUUUUAUCAUCUUCUGUUUUCCUCCCCGGAAGGAUUAUCCUCUGCCUGGUUGUUUGGAUCUUUUACCUUGCUGUUUCACCAUUGUCUGCAAAC
rnacentral:lncRNA from 1 species